GACGAACGCUGGCGGUGUGCUUAACACAUGCAAGUCGAACGGUAAGGCCCUUUCGGGGGUUCACGAGUGUCGAACGGGGGCGUAACACGUGAGUAACCUGCCCCCAUCUCUGGGAUAACAGUCGGAACCGGUUGCUAAUACUGGAUAUGAGCCUGCAUGUCAUCUUGAGGGUUGGAAAGUUUUUUUGGUUGUGGCUGGCCUCGCGGCCUAUCAGCUUGUUGGUGUGGUAGUGGAUCACCAAGGCUUCUACGCGUAGCCGGCCUGAGAGGGCGACCUGCCACACUGGGACCUAGGGACGGCACAAACUCCGACGGGUGGCAGCAGUGGGGAAGAUUGCACAAGGGACGCAAGGCUGAUGCAGAAGCGCCGCGUGUGGGAUGACGGCGUUAGGGUUGUAAAACGCUUUUGAUAGUGACGAAGCUUUUUGUGACGGUAGCAGUAGAAGAAGCACCGGCUAACUACGUG
rnacentral:rRNA from 1 species